GACGAACGCUGGCGGCGUGCUUAACACAUGCAAGUCGAACGGAAAGGCUCCAGCUUGCUGGAGUACUCAAGUGGCGAACGGGUGAGUAACACGUGGGUAAUCUGCCCUGCACUCUGGGAUAAGCCUGGGAAACUGGGUCUAAUACUGGAUAUGACCUUUCUCCUUAUGGGGUUUGGUGGAAAGUUUUUCGGUGUAGGAUGAGCCCGCGGCCUAUCAGCUUGUUGGUGGGGUGAUGGCCUACCAAGGCGACGACGGGUAGCCGGCCUGAGAGGGUGAUCGGCCACAUUGGGACUGAGAUACGGCCCAGACUCCUACGGGAGGCAGCAGUGGGGAAUAUUGCACAAUGGGCGGAAGCCUGAUGCAGCGACGCCGCGUGAGGGAUGACGGCCUUCGGGUUGUAAACCUCUUUCAGCAGGGACGAAGCGUAAGUGACGGUACCUGCAGAAGAAGCACCGGCUAACUAUGUG
rnacentral:rRNA from 1 species